rnacentral:tRNA from 1 species
UCCCCGGUAGCUCAAUGGUAGAGCGGUCGGCUGUUAACCGAUAGGUUGCAGGUUCGAAUCCCGCCCGGGGAGCUA